rnacentral:misc_RNA from 1 species
CAGGAAGCAGUAAAAUCCACCACGAUCAGUUGCUUGGUCUUCUGUGCCUUCUCGAGCUGCUCGGUCCAAGCCUGUACGGUGUGGCAGGCGAUCACUUGUCCCUCUUUGGCCAUUUUCUUUUCCAUAAGAAAUGCACCAUUGGUACUUUGUAGGAAUUGGUUGUCAUUCUCAUUCCAUAUGUCCUUGAGAGGAAUACUUCCUUCAAGAACUCCAACUAUCUUUUUCAUUUGUGGUCGAAACUUCAAAGGUUUAUAUAUACAAGCAGCAGCACAACAAACCAUCUGCUCUAUUUCUCUUCGUUUAAAAUUGCUUUGCAAUUUAGAAUCAAGAAGAGCUGUGUAAUCUCCAUUAAUCAAAGCUGUUUUUAUUAGAGUGCUUGCCCAAUCAACAAUAUUAACACCUUUAUCCUUAGCUUUUCUCCCAGUAAUCAGUUCUAGAAGCACAAUACCAAAAGCAUAAAUAUCUGAUUUUUUAGAUAUUUGUUUAUGUUCUUCUGGAUCUGCAUAAGCAUCAGUUCUGCCGUAUCUAUAAAACAUGAUAAAUCCAAAAUUCGCAACCUUUCGCUUAAAAUUGUUGUCUAUAAGAAUAUUAUUUGUCAUGAUAUCCCCAUGUAUGAUUUUAACUUCAUGGAGAUAUUCCAACCCUUUUGCAGAGUCUAUAGCGAUUUUCAUUCUCUUUGACCAUGCCAAUGUCUCCUUUCCAUGUAAAUGAGAUUUCAAUGAGUUACUGGGGAAAAACUCUAAAACAAGAAAUCUAUUGGGUCCUUCAAUGCAGUACCCAACCAGCUUAACAAGACUUGGGUGGCUCACACUGCCAAUAACCUUAAUCACCUGCUCCAAUUCUUCUUUUUGUUGUUCAUCUAGAAGAUUUUUAAGCUUCCUUACGGCAACAUCUUUGCCAUCUAGGGAUCCCUUAUAAACUAGACCCAAACCACCCUCACCAAGAAAUUGGGAGAAACCUUGAGUUGCCCGUUCAAGUUGUUGAUAAGUAAAUAUCCUUGGCUUGCAAACUUGAAACCCCACAGUGUCGUCAUCAUCAAUUUCUGAAAUGAUAGGAAGCUUUUGCACCAUAGGCUGGAGGAGGUUGUCAAUAGAGUUAGGAGGAAUAUAUCCUUCAAGAGCUAGAACUAUCUCUUUCAUUCUCGGACGAUACUUUGAAGAUUUAUAAACACAGUGUGCAGCACAAGAUAUCAUCCUUUGCAUCUCUUCUUCAUUAUAACUUCGUAAUUUGGAAUCAAUAAAAGUUGUAUAUUGUCCAUCCGCAGCUUGUGUAAUUUGAUCCCUUGCCCAAUCAACGAUAUUAAUGCCUUCAUGUAUAGGUUCUCUACCAGUGAUUAGCUCAAGAAGCACCACACCAAAAGAAUAAAUAUCUGACUUAUCAGAAAAUUUUUUUGAUUGCUCAGGAUCCAUGUAAACUUUAGUUCCCUCAUUGUUCGAUUUGGAAAGGUGAGUAACAUUAUCUGGGAAAUAUAAGGCAAGUCCAAAAUCUGUAAUCUU